rnacentral:rRNA from 1 species
CAGCAGCCGCGGUAAAACGAAGGGUGCAAGCGUUACUCGGAAUUACUGGGCGUAAAGCGUGCGUAGGUGGUGGUUUAAGUCCGUUGUGAAAGCCCUGGGCUCAACCUGGGAAUUGCAGUGGAUACUGGGUCACUAGAGUGUGGUAGAGGAUAGUGGAAUUUCCGGUGUAGCAGUGAAAUGCGUAGAGAUCGGAAGGAACAUCUGUGGCGAAGGCGACUAUCUGGGCCAACACUGACACUGAGGCACGAAAGCGUGGGGAGCAAACAGAAUUAGAUACCCCCGUAGUCCCUGUCUCUUAUAC